GGUUAUUCCACAAGUAAUUUGUAGUAGAUAUGGUCUUUCUGUAGGUGCCAACCUUGCAUGGCUUGUGUGAAUUUUGAUGAUAAUCUGUUAUCCAGUUGCCUAUCCUGUUGGAAAGGUUCUGGACUACCUGUUAGGGCACAAUGAGGCUUUAUUUAGGCGUGCUCAAUUAAAAGCUCUUGUAUCCAUUCACAACCAGGAGGCUGGGAAAGGUGGUGAGCUUACACAUGAUGAGACUACAAUUAUGUGGAG